GAGGCAGACAGGCAGAGAGUAGAGAGAGAGAGAGAGAGAGAGAGACGUUUUAAGUAGAACAGGGUGGGAGAGAACGAGAGAACACAUACGUAUAAGCACGAAUCUUGCGUGAAAGUGGAAGAGCCACCUCCACCGUUACAGCUUCCCUCACAUUUCUAGAAAUCUUCAAAAGAGCCGCCCCGAUUCGCUCAGUUCUUUCGUCUGUGUGCGUCUCACUAUCUGCUUAGCCCUUCCAAUCCCAACAGUGCUGUAGGGGGGGCGGUGCUUUUGGAUUUGGGAACUGGAGUCCGUCUUUUCCAGGUUUCUCUGGUGAUCUGGGUCUCUAGAGAGAGAGAGAGAGAGAGAGAGAGAGAAUGAUGGAGGAGAAGUUGUGGCAGUGGAGCGUGUUUAGAUCUCUGUUGGCAAUUAUCCAAUGGUGGGGUUUCAAUGUCACUGUAAUUAUCAUGAAUAAGUGGAUCUUCCAGAAACUGGAUUUUAAGUUUCCUCUAUCAGUAUCAUGUGUUCAUUUCAUUUGCUCGGCCAUUGGAGCGUACCUCAUGAUUAAGGUGCUGAAGCUUAAACCACUAAUAGCAGUUGAUCCUGAAGAUCGCUGGAGGAGAAUAUUUCCCAUGUCAUUUGUGUUCUGUAUAAACAUUGUUUUGGGGAAUGUGAGCCUACGUUACAUCCCAGUUUCGUUUAUGCAAACAAUUAAAUCGUUCACUCCAGCUACUACAGUUAUUUUGCAGUGGCUUGUUUGGAGAAAGUACUUCGACUUGCGAAUAUGGUUUUCUCUGGUACCCAUUGUUGGAGGAAUUCUUCUUACAUCUGUUACGGAGCUUAGUUUUAAUAUGUUUGGAUUCUGUGCUGCCUUAUUUGGCUGUCUCGCUACUUCCACAAAAACUAUCCUUGCAGAGUCUCUGUUGCAUGGAUACAAAUUUGACAGCAUAAACACGGUGUACUACAUGGCACCUUUUGCAACCAUGAUCUUGGCAAUACCUGCAAUGCUACUCGAAGGUAAUGGGGUAUUGGAAUGGCUUCACACCCACCAGUCUGUUUGUUCAUCCCUCAUAAUUAUCUUCAGCUCUGGGGUGAUGGCUUUCUGUCUUAACUUCUCCAUCUUUUACGUGAUUCACUCCACAACUGCUGUCACAUUUAACGUUGCUGGAAACCUGAAGGUUGCAGUUGCUGUUCUCGUAUCAUGGCUGAUAUUCCGAAACCCGAUUUCAGGCUUGAAUGCCGUUGGAUGUGCCAUAACUCUUGUUGGAUGUACAUUCUACGGAUAUGUGAGACACAUGCUCUCGCAACAGCCAUCGGGUACCCCUCAAACACCCCGGACUCCACGGAAUCGGAUCGAGCUUCUCCCACUUGUAAAUGAUAAAAUAGAUGAUAAAGUCUGAUGCUGAGAUCAAGUUGAAUGUGGGGUUAUUUGCAGGAGACAUAAUAAUAGGAACGGAAAAAGAAGUAGAACUACAAAAUUUCUUCAGUUUCUCAUUGGUCCUGGUUUUGGCCUGAAUGUUUUCAUAUUAUGGGUUUAAAAAAAGCUCC